rnacentral:lncRNA from 1 species
AAUGCUCAACAUUAGAUUUUGAUGAAUAGCUUUGCAAUGUUUAUUUUUUUAGCAAAGUUAUCAUUUAAUCAUUGAUUUUUUAAAUGUAAAAUCUAGUCCAAAUGUAAAAUCUAGUCUACAGUACAUGUAUGUGUAGUAGUGGUUAUAUUUUGAUGUCAAUGACACUGUGCAUUUUAUAUUUUAAUAUUUAUAUUCAUGAUGUUUUUUAUUUGUGCUUUUAUUAUUCCCCGCCACAUAGUGGGGUUAUAUUUUGUGAUACCCUCCGAAAAAAAAAUUGCAGUUUUGUGUCCAUCUGUCUGUUCAUGCAUCCGUCCCCCAGUGGUUUUCAGAGAAAAUAACUUUACAAAAGAUGAAUGAUUUAUUUUGAAACUCUGUAUAAAUGUUAAGUACAAUAAAUAGCAAUCAAAGUUAAAUUUUAAGCUUGAUCAAGUUAUGUCAUAUUUUUACUUUUUGCCACCCCCCCCCCCUUUUUUCAACCAAUACAUCAUGUACAUGGCAGGGUAUCACUAAAUGUUUUAUUUAUGCAAUAUUUCUUUACAUUUAAUUAGAAAUUAUUAUUCAUAUGUAACUCAGGUUUAAAAGAAAUAUAUAUUUAUAUAAUUUGUCUUGUGAAAAGAAAAACUUUAACAUAUUUUUUGAAAUUUGAAGAAUUCCGAGAGAAUAGAUGAUCUCCCC